rnacentral:misc_RNA from 1 species
GAUGAAGAACGCAGCGAAAUGCGAUAAGUAAUGUGAAUUGCAGAAUUCAGUGAAUCAUCGAAUCUUUGAACGCACCUUGCACUCCUUGGUAUUCCGAGGAGUACGCCUGUUCGAGUGUUAUGAAGCUCUCAAAACGCAAUUGACUUAAAACCUGAUUGUUGUUUUGGAUUUGAACUUUGCCGUGUUAUAACGGCUGGUUUUAAAAGUAUUAGCUGGUACUAGAACGAAUUGGUUCUACUCAACGUGAUAAUUAUCUGAUCGUUGAGGACAUUCCUUUCACGAGGAAUGGCCAUAGUAAAUUCAAUGGACUGCUUCUAAUCUGGCUUUAAUUCUUUAUUGGAUUAACCACUUUUCAAAUCUGACCUCGAAUCAGGUGGGACUACCCGCUGAACUUAAGCAUAUCAAUAAGCGGAGGA